AUGAUGAUAAUUUUAAAUUUGCUCAUUUUCAGUGCAUCAUUCACCAAGAAACAUUCUGCGCACAGCAAAUACAGUUUCAACAUGUCAUAAGACCAUUUUCAGUCGCUUCUCAAUUUUAUUCGUGCCCUCGGUUUUAAUGCUUGCCAUUUUUUAUGUUUCUGGAUGACAUUGGACAUGAAUUUGAUUGUGUUCCCUGUCGUGCGCGCGUGAAGUUUUCUUUGCAUUUAAUAUUGGUGUUUUAGCGUAUAGGAAGUAAUUUCUUUUAAGUGCGUUUUGUUGCCUAGAAUAUUGGGUGUGUGUGCGUUUACGUCAUCCUUAGUUCCCGCAAGAGAGAGAGAGCUUCGUUUGUUGGCUGGGUAGCUGGUUUUGUGUUUCCCCCUUGUAAGGGUACGUAAGUACAUAGUUUUAUUAAGUAGGCUGAUCUUUCGGUACGGGUGUCGCUAUUGAAAAGUUCUUUCUGGUAGCGGCAUCGCUAGAUCUAGGUUUUCUUGUCGUUUCAGGGUGUUAGGCUUUGGGCUAUGGGAAAGUGUGUCGCCUUUCCGCCCUUGGAGUUUUGCAGUAACUCUUGUUGUUGAGGUGUAGGGAGUUGAGGUUACGUUGGGCGCCGAGAUGGAGUGUGAGCGUGAAAGCUUUUGGUUCCACAAGGUUGUCAUUGCCAGAAGUGGUAAUGGAUAUAAGCACUCAACUAUCUAUAAAAUGCUUCCUAAUGGCAUGUCUCAAAUAACCUCUGACAACCAGUCUAAUUCCUGGCCUUCGUGUAUGGCUCAGAUUUUAAGUCCAGUGAAACUUUUCACUAAAAGAAGAAGGAAAAAAGGCAAGUAACUGGCACCUAAACCAGUAAGCUUUGGGCAGGAGAGGCUCGUUGGCCUUGGCUGGCCACCCACCUAGAAGAAGGAAAACUCUUUUGCAACUCCAGGAGUUUUUUUUUCUUUCUUUUUUUUUUACAGUUGGGGAGUUCGAGAUUUAGCUAUUUCUCAUGUUUAGAAAGGCAGCUUAAUAGAAAGACCUAAUUUAACAUUUUUAAUUUUAAUUUAUAGUAAAGGUACUUCUAAACUAAUUUUUUCUGAAAUAACACAAGAAGUAAUACUGAACACCUUUGAAAUAUGAAGAUUAAUCACCCUUGUUAGCAUAGAUGCUAUUAGUGUUACAAAUUUGUAACUAAAAGAGGCAUGUUUGUUUUGAUUAUUUAGUAAUAUAUAAGAAACAAAUUAGAGCAUCACUUAUUUCUGACAUAAAUGGUCAAGGGAUGAGGAACAAUUAACAGAUAGCAAAAUGUUAAACUAGAUGAUACUUUUUCUUAUCAACUUGUUAUCAAUACAUCAUCUUAGCUUUACUCUCACCAUAUUAUGGUGACUAUAUGGUGGUGUAAUCUGUCUGGGUUGUUUGGUUUUACAAGUCAGUAGAAACUUGAAGUGGGCUUAAAAUAUAAUGUGAAAUAAAAGGUUUAGCUAAGAAAAUAUUUAGCAUUUGCAAUAGCCAAUACUUCAAAGUUUCUUAACUCUUAACCAAGUGUGAUCUGUUAUGGCACAAAUUGGAAUUAGUUAUUUGUUUCAUAGAAAAUUAAGGAUUUGACUUAGAGACUAUGAUGCAAAUAGUAAAAACAAGACUAGGAUUUAAUGAAGAAUAAUGAAAUGUAAACAGACUAUUUUUAACUGCUUUAGAGGCAGGUUUUAAGAAAAAAAGAGAUUUAGCUUGAUGACAUUUGAUGGUUCCCUUCAUUAUUACUAAACGUCUUAUUCGACAUUCCUUAACAGUAUCAACUAACUUAUAUUGUUGGCCUCUUCACCUGUGUUAUUUGACUUCGUUAUUUGAAUGUUACUGCCGUUUGACUUGUAUGCAUAAGACACCGUGUGGAAGUGCCUAACAGAUCACAUUAUUUUAUCAUAAGCUUCUAAUGUGUAUGAAAAUUGAAAGUAAUUUAUUAAGAAUAUAAAUACACAAAAUAAGAUUAGCCUAAAUUAAGAAAUUCAUCUAUAUUCUAGGCUAAUAUUAAUACAAAAGUAAACUUAAUAUUUGCUCUAAUAUACUAAAAAGCAACUUUAGCAAAUAACUAAUCCAAACCAGAUCCAACAGCAACUAUUUUUUUUUAGUAAUUUCAUAGAAUAAGUAAGAUCUCAUUACAUUCCUGUUAAAAAAAAAUCAAUACAACUAUGUUAUUAUCAAGUAACUUACAUUAACAAAAACUUUAUUGGACUGUAUUUUUUUGUUUAGAUUUAUUGUUGUAAUAUUCUCCAAAGCUAGUAAACACUGUUAAUGAAACAC